GUUAAGCUUGAUUUAAAUUUGCAUACAUUUUCAUACAUUUAGGAGAAAUAAAAGAAGGCUGCAGCCACCAGAAAGUCAUUAAAGAGCGCUGAGCCGAGCCACAAGCUGGUUGUGGAGACAGAGACGGAGAGGAGGCCGGAGCAGGUGAGCUGACCGCGGGGCUGGGAGUGUGGACAGGGCCGCUGGAGGGUGGACGGGGCCUCGGUAACCGGAGGAAUGACAGACAGCGGCAGAGAGGGGAAGGGGGUGCUGUUUGCAGAAGAGGCUUGUAUAUUGUCCCUGGGUCAAUGAAGGAGCCAUAGCGGGUAAAAAAAAAAAAAAAAUCUACAUAACAUUACCAUCUGUUAAACUUCAAACACAGACACACACAGGAACAGGGAGCAUCCUAAACAGAGAGCAGUGGAGGAGAGUAGAGAGUCUAUAGAAAUGCAAUGUAUGCUCUUCAGCCCCUCUCCAACGCCUCUUCCACAUCCUCCUCCUUCUUCUCCUCUUCUGUGCUGACAGCAGAGAAGAGCUCAGGGUUGAGGCCUCGGAUGGCACCAACGAGCAAGAGAGGUAAAAAAAGAGAAAGAAAACAGGACUCCAGAGCAGAAAUAAAGAGAGACGGGGUUUGUAAGAAAAAUUGUCUCUGCUGAAAAAUGUUCUUUUCUUCAAAUCCUCACACAAAAGUCAAAUGCAGUGGAUGUUUAAUGAAUGGCCCCAGUGAAUUUGGUGUAGAAUAUGAGCAAGCAGCUCUCCGCCACAGCUAAACAACCAGCCAACAUACUUUCCCCCGUGGCCCACAAACCCACACACACACACACACACACACACACACACACACACACACACACACACACACACACAGACACACACACACACACACAGGUCCCUCUGAAGGAGCAGGCGGAGCCGGCAGUUGCACAUCUGCAUUUCAAACACAGACUCUCUGGGAUUCAUUAUUAAUUAGCCUGCUGAGCCCUGGAGGACUGGUGAUGCUGCCGUCUCACACACACACACACACACACACACACACACACACACACACACUCAAAGACACACAUACACUCACACACACACACGCACACACACACACACCUCGUGACCCCUUUGCCCCCUCUACAGUUAGAAAGUCCUCACCAGAAUACUGAGCCGUACAGAAACGUUGCUUUCCAUCCUCCAACCACUUGCACCUUCCCCAAUUUCCCGGCCUAAUGUAUAGUAAGGAUGAUGAAUUACAGGAGUAGAUGGUUUUAUUAAGCUGAACGCACUGUGACUGUGUUUAAAAUACCAUGUUCAAUUGAGUUGUUUAGCACAGCAGAGUCCUAAAUGACAGAGGCCAGAGGAUGACAGAAACCUGAGUUGCUGUACUUUGCGUCGCCUCAAUAAACACUACAACCCUC
ensembl:lncRNA